AAUCCCAUAGUCGAGGUUGUUGUGACAACCUUAGAUGGCGCUUUUUGUAGAGCCGCUAUUCCAAGUGGUGCAUCCACUGGAAUUUAUGAGGCACUUGAACUAAGGGAUGGAGGUUCA